rnacentral:rRNA from 1 species
UGGGGAAUAUUGCGCAAUGGGCGAAAGCCUGACGCAGCAACGCCGCGUGAGUGAAGAAGGCCUUCGGGUUGUAAAGCUCUUUUACCAGGGACGAUAAUGACGGUACCUGGAGAAUAAGCCCCGGCAAACUUCGUGCCAGCAGCCGCGGUAAUACGAAGGGGGCUAGCGUUGUUCGGAAUUACUGGGCGUAAAGCGCACGUAGGCGGAUUGUUAAGUCAGAGGUGAAAUCCCGGAGCUCAACUUCGGAACUGCCUUUGAUACUGGCAAUCUAGAGUCCGGAAGAGGUUAGUGGAAUUCCCAGUGUAGAGGUGAAAUUCGUAGAUAUUGGGAAGAACACCAGUGGCGAAGGCGGCUAACUGGUCCGGUACUGACGCUGAGGUGCGAAAGCGUGGGGAGCAAACAGGAUUAGAUACCCGCGUAGUCCCUGAGCGGGCUGGCAAGGCGCAU